AUGAUGAUAGUUAUCAGAAUGUGGAAGAACCGGUCCGUAACCAUUCAAAUAAGUUCUACGACUUGUUAGAAGGUGCAAAUAAUCCAUUGUACGAUGGAUGUCGUGAAGGGCAGUCGCAGUUAUCCUUAGCAUCUCGACUCAUGCACAACAAGGCGGAGUAUAAUAUGAGUGAAAAGUUGGUGAACUCCGUUUGCGAAAUGUUUACAGAUUUUUUACCAGAAGGAAACCAGGCUACCACUUCACAUUACCAGACCGAGAAGUUGAUGCGCAAUUUAGGACUUCCAUAUCAUACGAUUGAUAUUUGUCAGAACAAUUGUAUGCUAUUUUGGAAAGAAGACGAAAAAGAAGAUCAAUGUCGAUUUUGUGGCGCACAAAGAUGGAAGCCUAAGGACGACCGUCGAAGCCAGAUUAUAAUGAUGGUGGGUUUCUAGUAACAAUCCUAGGUUAGGAUUCAAACUAGUAAAAAUGAGAACUUAAGAGCCCUACUCGAUCAUUGGGUCGAGUAGAACCAAAAUGUGACAAAUUUGAAUUACUAAAAUGCAAUCAAAAGAGGAUACAAAUAACAGGUAAAUAAAAGUGCAAUCAACAGGGGAUACAAAUAAAUCUAAUGGAAUUUCUAAGGAUGGAUUCAUUGAUAAGGGCAACUCUAAUGUUCAUCACAUGGCUAAUAGGCGAAAGGUAGAUACCCUCGACGAUAGAUUCAAAAACCGGGUCAAUCCACUGUCGUGACAAAGACCCCCAUAAUUCUACCACUUCCAAAUAUCAACUGUCGUUGAUGAAACAUAGCAGACCAGAGUUUAAGAAACAAUCUACCGGAGCCAAUAAGCAGACAAGCCAAUGUCUUAGUCAAGUCUACAAAUCUCUGGAAUUCGUAGAUCAGACAUCCAUUUGAACGUCUUUUGGACGCUGGACGUCUAUGAUCGAAUCUCCACAUUAGCCAGCGAAAACUGUAUAGGGGCCAAGCGAAUCCAUAAGGGUUCUAACCUAAUCUUAACCACCUAACUAACCUAGAGAUUACCCUAAUAUAAUCCAUCCUCAAGAACCCUAAUCACUACUCAAGCAACAUUUUCAAGAACACAAACCCAGAAAUUACUAAAUCAUAUCAAAAUGUAGAUCUAAACAAGCUAAACAACUUUACUCAAAGAACUAAGGGCAAAAACGAAAUAGAUUAAGAGUAAUUAAGGUUUUAAGAUUCAAGAACACAAAGAAAAACUGAAAGAUAAAAGCUAGAUCCUUUGGAUAAACCCCAAAGUGAUCUAUUUAUUAUAAAAUGUUGAAACCCUAUAUUCACUAGAAGACAAGAGACUUGAGGCAGUUUGGGCGGAUGCUCGAUCUUGGGGAUCGAGUAAAGAGGGUGCUGCAAAGUCUGCGCCUUUGCGUUUAUGCUCAAAGUGAUCAAUUGGUCGAGUAGAUGCUUCUUCCUCUCCUAUCCGUAUGCUCAGAUGUCUGGUUGAGUGGGGAAUGAGGAGGAUCCGAAGACGCUUCGAUAGCUCAACAAGUCUUGUAGAGUUGGUCACCCUUGGUCGAGUAAAUGGGUCGAGUAGAGGAUCGAGUAGGAGGGGCGAGUAGAUCAAUCAACUACUUCAUUUGAGGGUGCCUUGAUCGAGUAAGAGGGUCGAGUGAAUUGUAGCAUCCUCUUUAGCUGCCUAGAUCGAGUAAAGAGGUCGAGUGAAAUGAUGCCUCUUCUGUAGCUGCCUGGAUCGAGUGAAUGGAUCGAGUAAAGUUAUUUUUAGCUCCUUCUGCACAUGAAAACACACCAAAACGUGCAAUGCGUAUGCAAGAUGAUCGUAGAUGGCUAAGUAUGCAAAAUAAGCUAAAAUGGGCAAAAUGAUAUGAUAUAAUGAGCAAAUGCACAAC
rnacentral:sRNA from 1 species